rnacentral:rRNA from 1 species
CCUAGGGGAGGCAGCAGUAGGGAAUAUUGGGCAAUGGGCGCAAGCCUGACCCAGCGACGCCGCGUGAGGGAUGAAGGUCUUCGGAUUGCAAACCUCUUUCAGUAGGGAAGAAGCGAAAGUGACGGUACCUAAAGAAGAAGCACCGGCUAACUAUGUGCCAGCAGCCGCGGUAAU